rnacentral:rRNA from 1 species
GAUGAGUGCUAAGUGUUAGAGGGUUUCCGCCCUUUAGUGCUGCAGCAAACGCAUUAAGCACUCCGCCUGGGGAGUACGGCCGCAAGGCUGAAACUCAAAGGAAUUGACGGGGGCCCGCACAAGCGGUGGAGCAUGUGGUUUAAUUCGAAGCAACGCGAAGAACCUUACCAGGUCUUGACAUCUCCUGACAACCCUAGAGAUAGGGCGUUCCCCUUCGGGGGACAGGAUGACAGGUGGUGCAUGGUUGUCGUCAGCUCGUGUCGUGAGAUGUUGGGUUAAGUCCCGCAACGAGCGCAACCCUUGAUCUUAGUUGCCAGCAUUCAGUUGGGCACUCUAAGGUGACUGCCGGUGACAAACCGGAGGAAGGUGGGGAUGACGUCAAAUCAUCAUGCCCCUUAUGACCUGGGCUACACACGUGCUACAAUGGAUGGUACAAAGGGCUGCGAGACCGCGAGGUUAAGCGAAUCCCAUAAAACCAUUCUCAGUUCGGAUUGCAGGCUGCAACUCGCCUGCAUGAAGCCGGAAUCGCUAGUAAUCGCGGAUCAGCAUGCCGCG